rnacentral:tmRNA from 1 species
GGGGGCGACCGGUUUUGACAGCUUGCAGAGUCUGAUCGUAAGCACGUCGAGCUUUGUGUGGUGGCUCGUAAAUCUCAACACUCGAACUACAAAUGGCAAUAACAGCUAUGCACUCGCUGCCUAAUUUUCAAGGAAAAUCGGGCUUAAUCAUCUGAUCCAAGGAGACCGGAUGACGAGUAUCCCGAACGGGGGCCCCGCCCUUGGCAACCGUUCAUACGGGGUAUCAUCAAUUAGGGGAUAGUGCGACGGAAGUCUCGGCCGCCGUGCGAAAUUAAAGAGACUGCGGCAAGGGUCAGGCCGUCUGCGGCCAUCCCGCGCAAGAGGAUCAAUCGCAGAAUAAACGUGUAGAAAGCCUUCGGGUUCCUUGUUUGGACGCGGGUUCGACUCCCGCCGCCUCCACA